AGAGAAAUAGCUCAGUGGUAGAGCACAUGCUUAGCAUGCACAAGGUCCUGGGUUUGAUCCCCAGUAUCUCCA
rnacentral:tRNA from 1 species